rnacentral:rRNA from 1 species
AACGAACGCUGGCGGCAUGCCUAACACAUGCAAGUCGAACGAGCCCUUCGGGGUUAGUGGCGCACGGGUGCGUAACGCGUGGGAAUCUGCCCUUUGCUUCGGAAUAACUCAGGGAAACUUGUGCUAAUACCGGAUGAUGUCUUCGGACCAAAGAUUUAUCGGCAAGGGAUGAGCCCGCGUAGGAUUAGGUAGUUGGUGGGGUAAAGGCCUACCAAGCCGACGAUCCUUAGCUGGUCUGAGAGGAUGAUCAGCCACACUGGGACUGAGACACGGCCCAGACUCCUACGGGAGGCAGCAGUGGGGAAUAUUGGACAAUGGGCGCAAGCCUGAUCCAGCAAUGCCGCGUGAGUGAUGAAGGCCCUCGGGUCGUAAAGCUCUUUUACCAGGGAUGAUAAUGACAGUACCUGGAGAAUAAGCUCCGGCUAACUCCGUG